UGGCGAACGGGUGAGUAACACGUGAGUAACCUGCCCCAGACUCUGGGAUAACCCCGGGAAACCGGAGCUAAUACCGGAUAUGACGCGAAGAGGCAUCUCUAUCGUGUGGAAAGUUUUUCGGUCUGGGAUGGACUCGCGGCCUAUCAGCUUGUUGGUGAGGUAACGGCUCACCAAGGCGACGACGGGUAGCCGGCCUGAGAGGGCGAUCGGCCACACUGGGACUGAGACACGGCCCAG
rnacentral:rRNA from 1 species